UUGGAGGGCAAGUCUGGUGCCAGCAGCCGCGGUAAUUCCAGCUCCAAUAGCGUAUAUUAAAGUUGCUGCAGUUAAAAAGCUCGUAGUUGAAUUUCGGGACCAUCAUGUCGGUCGUGCCUCGGUACGUACUGGCAUCGUCGGUUUCUCCCUUCUGACGAACCAUGAUGUCAUUUAUUUGGUGUCGUGGGGAAUCAGGACUGUUACUUUGAAAAAAUUAGAGUGUUUAAAGCAGGCUCACGCUUGAAUACAUUAGCAUGGAAUAAUGAAAUAGGACGUUUGAUUCUAUUUUGUUGGUUUCUAGGAUCGACGUAAUGAUUAAUAGGGAUAGUUGGGGGCAUUAGUAUUCAAUUGUCAGAGGCGAAAUUCUUGGAUUUAUUGAAGACUAACUACUGCGAAAGCAUUUGCCAAGGAUGUUUUCAUUAAUCAAGAACGAAAGUUAGGGGAUCGAAGACGAUCAGAUACCGUCGUAGUCCUAACCAUAAACUAUGCCGACUAGGGAUCGGAUGAUGUUAAUUUUUUAAUGACUCAUUCGGCGCCUUACGGGAAAC
rnacentral:rRNA from 1 species